rnacentral:sRNA from 1 species
AGAUGUAGACUUCGGUCUGCUACCUCUUACCCAUGUCUUUUGAGUACCUUCGUUUCCUCGGCGGGUCCGCCCGCCGAUUGGACAACAUUCAAACCCUUUGCAGUUGCAAUCAGCGUCUGAAAAAACAUAAUAGUUACAACUUUCAACAACGGAUCUCUUGGUUCUGGCAUCGAUGAAGAACGCAGCGAAAUGCGAUAAGUAGUGUGAAUUGCAGAAUUCAGUGAAUCAUCGAAUCUUUGAACGCACAUUGCGCCCCUUGGUAUUCCAUGGGGCAUGCCUGUUCGAGCGUCAUUUGUACCUUCAAGCUCUGCUUGGUGUUGGGUGUUUGUCUCGCCUCCGCGUGUAGACUCGCCUUAAAACAAUUGGCAGCCGGCGUAUUGAUUUCGGAGCGCAGUACAUCUCGCGCUUUGCACUCAUAACGACGACGUCCAAAAGUACAUUCGGCGAGUGAAGCGGCAACAGCUCAAAUUUGAAAUCUGGCGUCUUUGGCGUCCGAGUUGUAAUUUGCAGAGGGCGCUUUGGCAUUGGCAGCGGUCCAAGUUCCUUGGAACAGGACGUCACAGAGGGUGAGAAUCCCGUACGUGGUCGCUAGCCUUUACCGUGUAAAGCCCCUUCGACGAGUCGAGUUGUUUGGGAAUGCAGCUCUAAAUGGGAGGUAAAUUUCUUCUAAAGCUAAAUACUGGCCAGAGACCGAUAGCGCACAAGUAGAGUGAUCGAAAGAUGAAAAGCACUUUGGAAAGAGAGUUAAAAAGCACGUGAAAUUGUUGAAAGGGAAGCGCUUGCAGCCAGACUUGCCUGUAGUUGCUCAUCCGGGUUUUUACCCGGUGCACUCUUCUACGGGCAGGCCAGCAUCAGUUUGGGCGGUUGGAUAAAGGUCUCUGUCAUGUACCUCCUCUCGGGGAGAUCUUAUAGGGGAGACGACAUGCAACCAGCCUGGACUGAGGUCCGCGCAUCUGCUAGGAUGCUGGCGUAAUGGCUGUAAGCGGCCCGUCUUGAAACACGGACCAAGGAGUCUAACAUCUAUGCGAGUGUUUGGGUGUCAAGCCCGAACGCGUAAUGAAAGUGAACGGAGGUGGGAACCUUUCGGGGUGCACCAUCGACCGAUCCUGAUGUCUUCGGAUGGAUUUGAGUAAGAGCAUA